rnacentral:rRNA from 1 species
UACGGGGGGGGUAAGCGUUGUUCGGAAUUACUGGGCGUAAAGGGCUCGUAGGCGGCCAACUAAGUCAGACGUGAAAUCCCUCAGCUUAACUGGGGAACUGCGUCUGAUACUGGAUGGCUUGGAUUUGGGAGAGGGAUGCGGAAUUCCAGGUGUAGCGGUGAAAUGCGUAGAUAUUGGGAGGAACACCAGUGGCGAAGGCGGCUCACUGGACCGGUACUGACGCUGAUGCGCGAAAGCGUGGGGAGCAAACGGG